UACGGAGGGUGCAAACGUUGCUCGGAAUUAUUGGGCGUAAAGCGCACGUAGGCGGUCCAGCAAGUCGGGUGUGAAAGCCCUCGGCUUAACCGAGGAAGUGCAUUCGAAACUACUGGACUUGAAUACUGAAGAGGAUCGCGGAAUUCCCGGUGUAGAGGUGAAAUUCGUAGAUAUCGGGAGGAACACCAGUGGCGAAGGCGGCGAUCUGGGCAGAUAUUGACGCUGAUGUGCGAAAGCGUGGGGAGCAAACGGG
rnacentral:rRNA from 1 species